UACGUAGGUGGCAAGCGUUAUCCGGAAUUAUUGGGCGUAAAGCGCGCGCAGGCGGUUUCUUAAGUCUGAUGUGAAAGCCCACGGCUCAACCGUGGAGGGUCAUUGGAAACUGGGGAACUUGAGUGCAGAAGAGAAAAGCGGAAUUCCACGUGUAGCGGUGAAAUGCGUAGAGAUGUGGAGGAACACCAGUGGCGAAGGCGGCGUUUUUGGUCUGUAACUGACGCUGAGGCGCG
rnacentral:rRNA from 1 species